rnacentral:rRNA from 1 species
GUGUCAGCCGCCGCGGUAAUACGAAGGGAGCUAGCGUUGUUCGGAAUCACUGGGCGUAAAGCGCACGUAGGCGGAUUUGCCAGUCAGGGGUGAAAUCCCGGGGCUCAACCUCGGAACUGCCUUUGAUACAGCAAGUCUUGAGUUCGAGAGAGGUGGGUGGAAUUCCUAGUGUAGAGGUGAAAUUCGUAGAUAUUAGGAAGAACACCGGUGGCGAAGGCGGCCCACUGGCUCGACACUGACGCUGAGGUGCGAAAGCGUGGGGAGCAAACAGGAUUAGAAACCCCCGUAGUCC